ACGUAGGGUGCGAGCGUUAAUGGGAAUUACUGGGCGUAAAGCGUGCGCAGGCGGUUCGCUAAGACAGGUGUGAAAGCCCCGGGCUUAACCUGGGAAUGGCGCUUGGGACUGGCGGACUAGAGUGCGGCAGAGGGUGGUGGAAUUCCACGUGUAGCAGUGAAAUGCGUAGAGAUGUGGAGGAACACCGAUGGCGAGGGCAGCCACCUGGGCCAAUACUGACGCUCAUGCACGAAAGCGUGGGGAGCAAACAG
rnacentral:rRNA from 1 species